UACGGAGGGAGCUAGCGUUGUUCGGAAUUACUGGGCGUAAAGCGCACGUAGGCGGACUAUUAAGUCAGGGGUGAAAUCCCGGGGCUCAACCCCGGAACUGCCUUUGAUACUGGUAGUCUCGAGUCCGGAAGAGGUGAGUGGAAUUCCUAGUGUAGAGGUGAAAUUCGUAGAUAUUAGGAAGAACACCGGUGGCGAAGGCGGCCCACUGGAUCGGUACUGACGCUGAGGUGCGAAAGCGUGGGGAGCAAACAGG
rnacentral:rRNA from 1 species